AGCCCAAAAUCGACAACAACGAUAUCGCACAGUGAGAGGAACUCCCGGUGACGUCUCCCUCCGGUCAUUAUAUACAAUCUUGCAGCUCUCACUGACCACUAAACCAUUUCAAUUCCCAACUUCAUUGUUUCUCAUUCCAGUUUUCAUGGCGGAAGCUCCUUCGCUUCUCUCUCUAUGCAUCGCCCUAGUCAGAGACGAGAUUCUUCAAAGGGAUGACGUUCCACCGGCUCUCUAUGACCUUCCUCCUCACUUGUUGGAUACCCUGGCAUUGCGGCUGCCGCCCUUGGCUUUACGCAAUUUACAAUCUGGAAUGCCAUUUGAGCUCCAGAAUGAGGAUGAAUAUGAUAACAAUUGCCUUAUGGAUGGUCGGAAGCGCAGAAGGUCCUCUAAUUUUAAUUUAGCAUGGAAGAAGAAUUUCGAUUUACGAUGGUCAAAGCUAACUGAUACUAUCCAGCCAGUUGACUGGCAGCAGAUAUAUUGGGAGACGCACUUGCAAAGUUGCCUAGAUGAAGCAGCAGAAAUAGCCUCACUACCAUCUUUUUCUAAAUGUAUUGGAGAAAUAGAGAUGUCAGAUUCUAUAUUGAAAUAUAUUGCCAGCAAAGAGUCUGUUCAUUUCUGGCGUGCAAAGUAUAGAUAUUUAAGCUAUCAUUGCCAAGAAUUUGGGUGCUAUGCUCUAUGUUUGAGGCUUCAGAGUGUUCUCUGUGUUUCGGAAAUUUAUCAUAUAUUAAGGAGCUGCAGAUUGCAGACGUUGCUGUUAAGGUGGAUCAGAUUCCCAGAGCAAGUUAAUGGAUUAUGCAAACUUCUAAACCAAAACAGGGAAACUUUAACUUCCCUUGAACUCAUUCAUUGCAAGCUAUCUUCAACUUCUGUAAAUUCAAUUUGCGAUGCUCUAAUCCAUAAUAGAAAGACACACGGUAUACUGCACUUCUCAAUCAAUGGAUCACGCUUUGAUGAAACUGAGCCUGUUGCUUUGCCCUCGGGACUGGUAUCAUUUUUUUCAUCAGGAAGGUAUUUAUAUUCUUUCAAACUCUGUGAUAACGACCUGGGUAAAAAUUUUGGGAAAUUUGUCUUUCACACUCUUCUUGAUGCUUCAUCUUGUUUAUCUGUCCUUGAUCUUUCGGAAAAUAAAAUGACAGGAUGGCUCUCCAAUUUUAAUAGAAGAUCUUUGACCGGCCUUCAGGCUUCUUCUAUGGUUGGAAAAUCCUUGCAAUCACUGCGUGUUCUCAAUUUAAGAUUUGAAUCAUUUUCUUAUUUUAGGGGAAAUGGGCUAAAGAAAGAUGAUGCAGAUAACCUAAGAUAUGCUUUGUUUCAUAUACCAAAUUUGGAGUUCCUGGAUAUGAGUGAUAAUCCUAUUGAGGAUGAUGGAAUCAGGAAUUUAAUCCCCUAUUUUAUUGAAGCUUCUGAAAGAAACUGUCCCUUUGCUGAUCUGAAUUUAGAGAACUGUGAGCUUUCAUGUGAUGGAGUCACGCAACUCUUGAAUGUGCUGUCAACUUUAAGGAAACCACUGAGGUCUCUUUCUGUUGCAGAUAAUAGCCUUGGAAGCUCGGUAGCAGGAGCUUUGGGCGUUUUCAUGGGGAAAUCAAUUCAAAUACUGAAUGUUGAAGGCAUUGGCUUGGGUCCAUGUGGGUUUCAGGAUUUAGUUGAAGGGGUAACUGCGGGGUCAAAUAUUGUGAACAUCAACAUAAGUAAAAAUCGUGGUGGAAUAGAGAUAGCAACAUUUUUGUUGAAGCUUUUGUCUGGGGCAUCAGAUCUUGUUUCUGUCAAUGCAUCUUACAAUCUAAUGCCCGUUGAAUCCUUAGACAUCAUACGUUCUGCCCUGAAAAUUGCUAAAGGUAAACUUGAGCUAUUGGACUUGAGGGGAAAUAAUUGGGAUGAUCAAAAGGCUCAAGAUUCACUGGUUGCAGAGUUUCAGAACAGUGUCAAGAAAAUUUUAAUAUAUUCAUCAUCACCAAAUUUAGAUGGACUUUAUGACGCCGAUCCGUAGUUGACUUGGCUGUGGUAUCAUGACUAUUCAAGCUAAGGAAAUUAUUGGGACUCAAUUUACAACCCACCAACAUGCAUUGUCAAGUUGUCUUUGACAUUGUUCUCUCUUGUAGAUGAAUGGGAAGAUGAAAUUUCUGCUUUGGGGAGUGCAGUUGCAACCAAGGAAACUCCUAAACCUUUGUGGCCUUCUGUGUGCUAGAUUCUCUUACAUUCACUGAAAUCUGGACAAAGAACUGCUAAGGUAAUUAUAUUAUUUAACUUUGUUCAUUGUAUGUAAUAUGUCCUAUUGUUUUAUUGUAGUGUAGAAAUUCUGCAUUGAACAGUUAGUAACCAUUGUCUAUUGAGGUGCUGCUCGAGUAACUGCAUGUCCUAAUUAACAACCACUGAUUCUUCAAGUACUUGUAUGGUAGUUGAAUAAUUUUUCGAAAUUCUAAUAAGGUUAUAGACUGAUCACCUCCCAUCUA